AUUGAACGCUGGCGGCAGGCCUAACACAUGCAAGUCGAACGGUAACAGGAAGAAGCUUGCUUCUUUGCUGACGAGUGGCGGACGGGUGAGUAAUGUCUGGGAAACUGCCUGAUGGAGGGGGAUAACUACUGGAAACGGUAGCUAAUACCGCAUAACGUCGCAAGACCAAAGAGGGGGACCUUCGGGCCCCUUGCCAUCUGAUGUGCCCCGAUGGGAUUAGCUAGUAGGUGGGGUAACGGCUCACCUAGGCGACGAUCCCUAGCUGGUCUGAGAGGAUGACCAGCCACACUGGAACUGAGACACGGUCCAGACUCCUACGGGAGGCAGCAGUGGGGAAUAUUGCACAAUGGGCGCAAGCCUGAUGCAGCCAUGCCGCGUGUAUGAAGAAGGCCUUCGGGUUGUAAAGUACUUUCAGCGGGGAGGAAGGGAGUAAAGUUAAUACCUUUGCUCAUUGACGUUACCCGCAGAAGAAGCACCGGCUAACUCCGUG
rnacentral:rRNA from 1 species